CAGGUGAUUGGAAGGAGCAUCUAAUGGGCAUGAGAGAACUAGCAAAGCAGCAGAAGAAAGGGUCCACUACAUGAAAUCUUAUCUAGAGCCAACCAAUGGAUUCCUUCUUUCCUUUCCAUGUAGAGCUCAAAACACUAUCCGCUUAUAAUUGCACCACUUCACAAUUGAUGACUUGAUAAAAAUGUCAUCCCAUUUUCCUGAAUUCAAACAAAACCCCAAGUGAAGUAACAGUUCAGUAAUGGCCCAUUCCCUAACCACGACACCAGCCACAGCAAACCCUCCUUUCUCAGCCAAUUCUAAGAAGAAGACAACUGCCCAUCUUCCAUCUCUAGGGUUUCAUAGAGACUCUAAGCUUGCAGUCUCUGAUUGCAAUCUCAUCCAUCGCAGGUUAGUGUCCUUUACGUUUCUAUAUACAAUGGCUAAUGAACUCUUUUUGAAAUUUAUUUGGAACAUCAAAACUUUGUAUAUGUCUCCAAUGUAGGCCUAUUUCUUGAUUUAUGGUGUUACUUAGCUAUCAAACAUUCUUUCCAGGCAACAGUUUUACAAUGCCGUUGUAGUGAAUGUAAAUAAUUUGGUAAAUUACUAUCAGUUUCUUGUAAUUUGUCAGAAUUAACUUUUUAGUCGUUAUUUUUUUAAAAUACAACUAAAACGUCUCUGUAUUUUAUAAAAUCAAACUUUUAAAUCUUCUGUCAAAUAAUUAAUCAACUUGUUUAAUUUUAAAAUAUUUAUAUUGUUUAGUCUCUAUAAUUUUAAUUGUCCAUACUAUUUAGCUCCUCUGAAUAAAACUAACACAAGUUGAUUAACUUUAUUUUUGACAAAAAUCUAAUAGAAGUACUAAAGAGUUUAAUUUUAUAAAAUACAGAAAAUUUUUAAUUUUUUUUAAAAGAUUAAAUAAUUAAUUUUAAUAAAAUAUAGGGACUUGAAAAUAAUUUACUAUAAAUAAUUUUAUUUUUCAUUGCUCCAUGUUUAGAAAAGCUUAUUAAAUAUAAUUAUUAAUACAUACUUUGUAUUAAUAUUCAGCAAAUAUGUACUUACAAGAAUAAAAACAUCAAUGGAUAUAUGAAUAAUCGAGCAUGCACAUAAGCUAGAAAAGUGAAGUUGAUGGGGGUUAGGUUAGUUGAUGGUGCAGGACUGUGAGCUUGGGUUUGGCAGGUGCAUUGGUGGGCUUGAACAUUGGUGACCGGAGUGCUAAUGCAGCCAGAAGGCCGCCACCUCCGCCGCCGGAGGAGAAAAAGGACCCUAGUUUAAGUGGUUUGCAAGCGAAAGUCCUGGCCAGCAAGAAGAGGAAGGAAGCCUUGAAAGAGUUUGUGGCCAAGCAAAGAGAGAAAGGAAAGCAAAUAAGUGAACCAUCUGAAUAGCAAUAAAGAAAUUGUAGUUUGUUCAAUUUAGCCUUAAGAUUAAAAAAAUUUCUUCAGUGGAAAAGGGAAAAUGUUGUAUCCCAAUAAAGAGUAAAGAAUACUCCAUUGAGAGAUUUCAUCAAUUUUUAUUUUAUUUUUAUUUCUUUUCAGGAUAUGUAACAAAGAUAAUAAUAAAAUUCAACUAACAAUAAAUCAUUUUUAAAAAAUAAA
rnacentral:misc_RNA from 1 species